UGCAGAGCCUGGGGUUUGGCUGGUGAGGGGCUUUCACAUGGGGCUCGCCCCUCCCUGCUUUGUGACAAAGGUUAAAUGAGCCUCGUUGGAGACACUGUUGCUGACAGAAGGAGGAAGGAUAUAAUCAAAUUCAUUUAGGCAGAUGGGCAUGAGGGGAGAAUGAAAUCCGCACCCUGCCCUGCUGAGGGGUAGUGGGCACUGCCAGAGGUGUCAGCAGCUGAAGGACAUAGGCAGGACUCCAGCAGACACAGGAUUUGGGCCCUGGCUGCUUUCGGAAAGUGAUCUCCUGCUCCUGUCCCUGCUGGUCACCCUGUGCCGGCAGGGUGGAUUUGAGAGUCCCAGGUGUGCACAGACAAGAAUUCUCUGUUGGAACCUGCUGGCAAAAAAAUGUUCUCAUUUCUCAUAAAACCUGUUCCACCAAACCAGUGAAGGAUCUGUCCCAUUGAGGGGAAGUGAAGGGAAAAAAUUGUCAGCUUCUCCUUGGCAUUCCUCAGUGAUCCUGGCGCACUGUGAUGUCCCUGUGGAUCACGGCAGAGCCCUGCCUGUCUCUCCGGAGUGCUGUGACUGCACGGCCCCGAGCAUGAACUCACUUUGCCCGAUGGAGAUGGCCCUGGAAUGGU